UGGCUCAGUGGUAAAGAACUUGCCUGCAAUGCAGGAGACACAGGUUUGAUCCCUGU
rnacentral:tRNA from 1 species